CAAAUCUUGUGGCACCCACAAGUGUACUGUCAGUAAUGAUGUGUUGUAUGUCCUCAACAGUUUAGUCGUACACUGUGUACAUGAAAUGAGAUGGGAAAGCAAAAUCCAGAAGAGAAAUAAAAAGAGAAAGGUAAAGACUGCAAAAAUAAAUAGCAUUUAUAAAUUAGGGAAAACUGAUAGAUUGAUGUGAAAGCAUUUGGUGGUGGUAGUAGAUUUGGUAGUGGUAAGAAUUGGAUGAAAAAGGGGUAUAAAAAGAGAUAAUAAAGGAUGAAGGAGGGGAAAACUAGCAUUUAAAUGAGGUUAUAAAAGGGGACAGAUAAAGCCUUUUGAAAAUCAGUAGUGUUCCGAAUGAAGUAUGGUGUACAGGUCUGCAUCUGUUCAUUUCAUUGUGUUCUUCUAAAGAAUGCAUUUUUCUAGUUCAUGGCUAACUGACUUCUGGGAAUAAAGUCUUACCUUUCAUUGUGUCAUUUGGAAGCUGUAACUGAUCUGCUGUUUUUAACCUUGGGUCAGUGGUGGAAAGUUGAAGAAGGUCCUUCUGUCACCUCAUAGACUCAGGAAAGUCAUACUGCAGUGACACUGCUUCUGCAGUCUAAGUAUGGCAAGUAAAUGGACUAUGGCCAUUUACAGAAGUCUCAGGAGAAUGUAAGCACAUGUCCUUCAGUACGAAAAUAGUUCAGUAUUGCUCUUCAGUUACUCAAGUGUUUGCUAACGUCAUCUCAGAAGGUAAAACGCAUCAUUUAUUUCCAUUUUCUUGUAUACAUCCAGUAUCCUGUAUACUGGAUGGCAAACACUGCCGUUAUAAAGAGAGGACAGCUGCCUUUAUAUUUAGCCCUGACUGCCGUCCUUGGGGUCACAUGGGAUGAUUGGAAGCCUGAUGACGUUCCCCAUCCCUUGGGAGGAUCUAUGUGCUGCCUGCAGGACUCUGGAACAACUUGUGAGGGCUGGAAGUACCCACCGGCGCUUAGGUCACUGCAUCCAGAUGAGAGACAGCAGUGUUCUAAUGAAGUCUGAAGCAGCCCGUAAUACUAUGACUCUGCUUUUAAUUCCUGCUACUAUUAGAAGGUAACAGAAAGGAAGAAAGAAAAAAAUGGCCGAGCUGGUUUUCGAUUCUUUUCAAAGAUUUAAAUAAAUUGCACAGGUUGCUAUUUCUUUUUCCCUUA
rnacentral:lncRNA from 1 species